rnacentral:lncRNA from 1 species
CUUCUGGGGACGAGGGGCAGGCUCGGAGGAGGCGCCGGCGACGGUGAGGUAUUCGAGCGCGGUGACGACGUCGCUGAUGGCAGGGCGCAUGGUGGCGUCCUCCUGGAGGCACAUGGCGGCGAUGGCGAGGGCCUGGUAGAGGCCCUUGGUGGGGUAGGCGCCGCGGAGCAAGGGGUCGGCCAUGUCGGCGAAGAGCUUCUUGUCCUUGAAGCGCGGGGCGGCCCACUGGACGAGGUUCUGCUCAUCGUGAGGGCGGGCCAUGUCGAUGGCGCGGCGGCCGGUGAUGAUCUCGAGGAAGACGACGCCGAAGCUGUAGACGUCGGAGCAGGUGGUGAGCUUGCCGGUGAGAGCGUACUCGGGGGCGCAGUAGCCGUAGGUGCCCAUGACGCGGGUGGAGACGUGGGUCUUGUCGCCGACGGGGCCGACCUUGGCGAGGCCGAAGUCGGAGAGGCGGGCCUGGAAGGAGGAGUCGAGGAGGAUGUUGGAGGCCUUGAAGUCGCGGUAGAUGACGGGGGGACGAGCAGCGUCGUGCAGGUGCUCAAGGCCGCGGGCGGCGCCCUGCGCGAUGCGCAUCCGAGUGGUCCAGUCCAGAGCCGCGGCGCCAGGGGGCAGGUCAAGCAGGUGGUCCUCCAGGGAGCCGCGGGCCAUUACCCCAGCAGCGUCACCAGGUUUGGGUGCUCCGCCAGCAGGCUCAGCAUCAGCACCUCCACAAGGAACUCCCGGUUCCCCUGCAUCCCGUUCCGGUCCAGCUGCUUCACCGCCGCCUCCGUCACAGUCCCCUUGAUGCUCAGCCUCCCCCGGUACACCGGCCCGAACCCUCCCUCCCCCAGCAGCGACUCCGCCCUGAACCCGCCCGUCGCCUCCGACAGCUCGCCGUACGUGAACGCCCGCGCCGUCACCUUCCCCUUGCCGAUCUUCAGGAUCUCGUCCGCCACGCGCUUGUGCCGGUUCACCAGGUUGCUGUUGUUGUCCCUGCUGCUCCCGCCCAGGCUCCGCUCCGACGCUAAAUUCUUCUUCUUGCUGCUGCUGCUGCUGUUGCUGCAGCCGCUAGAGGAGGUCGAGGGAGGCGCUCCGUCGCCAUCGCCGUCCCCGUCGCCUCCUCUGUCCUCGGACUGGAAGCAGCAGAAGAUGCCCAUUAUAUUUAUGGUGUGCUGGGCCCUCCACCAACGCCAACAGGAACGAAUCCUGGAACCAGAGGGAUGAUCCUCCAACUCUGCUCCUCAACCAGCAUCCGGUUCCAAACUGAUAAGGCCUAGCCAGCCAGCCACCAAUCUGAUGAUCGAUGAUCGAUAACAAAGGGAUGUAUAAUUUUAAUUGAGAUUAUCAAGGAUGAUCGCCGGACGGCGAGCUUGUACCGUACGUACAAACUGCCGACGAGCGAGGCGCGCGCGCGCGAAUGGAAUGGGGAAAUCCGAUUGCUUAAUAACCUUUCUGGCAUUGCCCAUUGGAAUGGAUGGGGUAAAUUAAUUCGUCCGUUA